rnacentral:rRNA from 1 species
GAGUUUGAUCUUGGCUCAGAUUGAACGCUGGCGGCAUGCCUAACACAUGCAAGUCGAACGGCAGCACUGGGAGCUUGCUCCCUGGUGGCGAGUGGCGGACGGGUGAGUAACGCGUAGGAAUCUGCCUCAUAGCGGGGGACAACUCGGGGAAACUCGAGCUAAUACCGCAUACUACUCGAGAGAGGAAAGCAGGGGACCUUCGGGCCUUGCACUAUGAGAUGAGCCUGCGUUGGAUUAGCUAGUU